rnacentral:rRNA from 1 species
CAGCUGGUUGGUGAGGUAAUGGCCCACCAAGGCUAUGAUCGGUAGCCGGCCUGAGAGGGCGGACGGCCACACUGGAACUGAAACACGGUCCAGACUCCUACGGGAGGCAGCAGUGGGGAAUUUUGCGCAAUGGGGGCAACCCUGACGCAGCAACGCCGCGUGGACGAUGAAGCAUCUUGGUGUGUAAAGUCCUUUCGGCAGGGACGAAGCCCCGCAAGGGGUCGACGGUACCUGAAGAAGAAGCCCCGGCUAACUCCGUGCCAGCAGCCGCGGUAAUACGGGGGGGGCGAGCGUUGUUCGGAAUUAUUGGGCGUAAAGGGAGCGUAGGCGGUGCGGUAAGACUGGUGUGAAACCUUCAGGCUUAACUUGGAAC